AGUGAACGCUGGCGGCGUGCCUAAUACAUGCAAGUCGAACGGAGAUUAAGUAGCUUGCUAUUUAAUCUUAGUGGCGCACGGGUGAGUAAUAUAUAGCUAACUUGCCCAUUACUAAGGGACAACAGUUGGAAACGACUGCUAAUACCUUAUACUCCGUAUCUAUAUAAGUAGAUACGGGAAAGUUUUUCGGUAAUGGAUAGGGCUAUAUCGUAUCAGCUAGUUGGUAAGGUAAUGGCUUACCAAGGCUAUGACGCGUAACUGGUCUGAGAGGGUGAUCAGUCACACUGGAACUGAGACACGGUCCAGACUCCUACGGGAGGCAGCAGUAGGGAAUAUUGCUCAAUGGGGGAAACCCUGAAGCAGCAACGCCGCGUGGAGGAUGACACUUUUCGGAGCGUAAACUCCUUUUCUUGGGAAAGAAUUAUGACGGUACCCAAGGAAUAAGCACCGGCUAACUCCGUG
rnacentral:rRNA from 1 species